CGUAGCCGCGGUAAUACGGAGGAUCCAAGCGUUAUCCGGAAUCAUUGGGUUUAAAGGGUCCGUAGGCGGUUUAGUAAGUCAGUGGUGAAAGCCCAUCGCUCAACGGUGGAACGGCCAUUGAUACUGCUGAACUUGAACUAUUAGGAAGUAACUAGAAUAUGUAGUGUAGCGGUGAAAUGCUUAGAGAUUACAUGGAAUACCAAUUGCGAAGGCAGGUUACUACUAAUUGAUUGACGCUGAUGGACGAAAGCGUGGGGAGCGAACAGGAUUAGAUACCCCCGUAGUCCCUGUCUCUUAUACA
rnacentral:rRNA from 1 species